rnacentral:rRNA from 1 species
GCUGGGUAUGAAAGUGGCGCACGGGUGCGUAACGCGUAUGCAACCUACCUCAAUCAGGGGGAUAGCCCGAAGAAAUUCGGAUUAACACCGCAUAAAAACACAGUACAGCAUUGUACAAUGUUCAAAUAUUUAUAGGAUUGAGAUGGGCAUGCGUGUCAUUAGCUAGUUGGCGGGGUAACGGCCCACCAAGGCGACGAUGACUAGGGGAUCUGAGAGGAUGACCCCCCACACUGGUACUGAGACACGGACCAGACUCCUACGGGAGGCAGCAGUAAGGAAUAUUGGUCAAUGGAGGGAACUCUGAACCAGCCAUGCCGCGUGCAGGAAGACAGCCCUCUGGGUCGUAAACUGCUUUUAUUCGGGAAUAAACCUACUUACGUGUAAGUAGCUGAAUGUACCGAAGGAAUAAGGAUCGGCUAACUCCGUGCCAGCAGCCGCGGUAAUACGGAGGAUCCAAGCGUUAUCCGGAUUUAUUGGGUUUAAAGGGUGCGUAGGCGGCUUAUUAAGUCAGGGGUGAAAGACGGUGGCUCAACCAUCGCAGUGCCCUUGAUACUGAUGAGCUUGAAUGAACUAGAGGUAGGCGGAAUGUGACAAGUAGCGGUGAAAUGCAUAGAUAUGUCACAGAACACCGAUUGCGAAGGCAGCUUACUAUGGUUUUAUUGACGCUGAGGCACGAAAGCGUGGGGAUCAAACAGGAUUAG